UACGGGGGGAGCAAGCGUUGUUCGGAUUUACUGGGCGUAAAGGGCGCGUAGGCGGCCACCGCAAGUCGACUGUGAAAUCUCCGGGCUUAACCCGGAAAGGUCAGCCGAUACUGCGGGGCUAGAGUGCAGAAGGGGCAACUGGAAUUCUCGGUGUAGCGGUGAAAUGCGUAGAUAUCUGGAGGAACAUCGGUGGCGAAGGCGGCAUCCUGGACCGGUAUUGACGCUGAGGCGCGAAAGCCAGGGGAG
rnacentral:rRNA from 1 species